rnacentral:rRNA from 1 species
AGUGAACGCUGGCGGUAGGCCUAACACAUGCAAGUCGAACGGCAGCGCAGUAAGAGCUUGCUCUUACGGGUGGCGGGUGGCGGACGGGUGAGGAAUACAUCGGAAUCUACUUUUUCGUGGGGGAUAACGUAGGGAAACUUACGCUAAUACCGCAUACGACCUACGGGUGAAAGCAGGGGAUCUUCGGACCUUGCGCGAUUGAAUGAGCCGAUGUCGGAUUAGCUAGUUGGCGGGGUAAAGGCCCACCAAGGCGACGAUCCGUAGCUGGUCUGAGAGGAUGAUCAGCCACACUGGAACUGAGACACGGUCCAGACUCCUACGGGAGGCAGUAGUGGGGAAUAUUGGACAAUGGGCGCAAGCCUGAUCCAGCCAUACCGCGUGGGUGAAGAAGGCCUUCAGGUUGUAAAGCCCUUUUGUUGGGAAAGAAAAGCAGCAGGUUAAUACCCCGCUGUUCUGACGGUACCCAAAGAAUAAGCACCGGCUAACUUCGUG